rnacentral:rRNA from 1 species
GACGAACGCUGGCGGCGUGCCUAAUACAUGCAAGUUGAGCGCUGAAGGUUGGUACUUGUACCAACUGGAUGAGCAGCGAACGGGUGAGUAACGCGUGGGGAAUCUGCCUUUGAGCGGGGGACAACAUUUGGAAACGAAUGCUAAUACCGCAUAAAAACUUUAAACACAAGUUUUAAGUUUGAAAGAUGCAAUUGCAUCACUCAAAGAUGAUCCCGCGUUGUAUUAGCUAGUUGGUGAGGUAAAGGCUCACCAAGGCGAUGAUACAUAGCCGACCUGAGAGGGUGAUCGGCCAAAUUGGGACUGAGACACGGCCCAAACUCCUACGGGAGGCAGCAGUAGGGAAUCUUCGGCAAUGGACGAAAGUCUGACCGAGCAACGCCGCGGGAGUGAAGAAGGUUUUCGGAUCGUAAAACUCUGUUGGUAGAGAAGAACGUUGGUGAGAGUGGAAAGCUCAUCAAGUGACGGUAACUACCCAGAAAGGGACGGCUAACUACGUG